UCAGUAGACCCGCAGGUCUCCUUUAAGUCGGAAGCCGGCCGCGGCCCCCGCCCCCUCCCGCCCCGCGAGGGCGCGGGGAGAAGCGGACAUUUUCUCCUUUUCAGCAAUCUGCUCUUUCUUGUCCUUCGCCCCCGCUCUGCGUCCUCCCACUUCUCGCCCGUCGGGGUCCGGUAGGGCGGGGAGUGUAGAUCUCCCCGGGGUGGCCUGGUGAUAAUCAGUCCCCUUCCCCUCCCGGGGGUGUGGAGGCGUGGGAUAGGGGGUGACUGGGGGAGGACUCCACUGUGCCCUAAGGUUUGUGCUGCCCGGCCGCGGCCCGCAGGAGCCCCCCUACUGCCGCGGCUCCCCCCGCUCCCCGCCCCGCGAGGCGGGCGCAGCUGCGUCCCGCCUGUCCUCACCUCACCCCCAUUCUGCCCCUUAGGUAUUUCUCAAUGACCGGCGCUCGGAGGACACUUCCGACCCGGGAGGGAGCGGGUAGUAUUAGCUCCAGCUUUUAUCAGUUUCUUCCGGCCUGCAGGGAGCCCAGCCCUGCGCUCAGUUUGGCCGCGCCCGGGUGCUUUUAUUAUUCUGUUUAAAUAAGCAGUCGUGUGUGCCAGGGUGUGCCAAGCGACUUUGCAGCCUGGCUGCCUCCCCCCAGACCCGCCGGCCGGAAUGGAAACCCAAGCUCUCUCGUAAUGAAGGGGAUGAUGCAAACUUAGAAACUGACCCGGCACCCGGGAAUGAUGCCCCACCCCCACCCUUGGCGCGCGGCGUCCCAGUACGGGCAUGAAUGGCUGGAGCCCGAUUGCAUAAUCGGCGCGGUAUAUAUAGCCGGCGGGCAGGCCGCUGACGCGCUCCUGCGUCCUGUUAUCGUGAAUACUUCAUCAUCUAUGGCGUUGGCUCCCGGGUCAUUUUCCCUUUCAGCUGUAAGACAGGGAUUUUAAAUAGCAGAGAUGAAAGGCUCUUGUCCCUACCUCCCUCCUCCCUUGAGUUCAUGUAUUAUGAAUGAAACCUCGCUGCUUCCUGAAAUCCCUACUUCAGAUCCCAGAUAUACAGACUGCUGGGCAAAGGCAUUGAAGAAAGGACCAGAAAAACAGGUGACCAAUAAAAUGCAAGGAGAUGUCUGCUAGGGAAAUACUGGAAAAAAUUUGAAUCCCUGAACAAAAGAGAGAUAUGGGGUGAGAGGGAGUGCUCCCCUCUACCCCCGCCCCGCCGUUCCUGCCCUCAGAAGUUCUUGUGUGAGACAGUGAUGUUUAGCACUACCAGGAGGAGAAUGCCAAGAAAAUCAAAGGAGAGCUGACUGAGAAUCCUGGAAUCGCUGAGCUACUGAGUUGACCAGACUUGGAACCCACCUACCUCUGGACUUUAGGUUAUGCGAAAUUGUACAUCUUUAUUGUUUAAGCCACUUUUUUUUUUUUUU